GUGGGGAAUUUUUCGCAAUGGGGGCAACCCUGACGAAGCAACGCCGCGUGGAGGAUGAAGGCCUUCGGGUCGUAAACUCCUGUCGACCGGGACGAAAGCUUCUCGACCCAAUACGUCGAGUUGUUGACUGUACCGGUGGAGGAAGCCACGGCUAACUCUGUGCCAGCAGCCGCGGUAAUACAGAGGUGGCAAGCGUUGUUCGGAAUUACUGGGCGUAAAGGGCGCGUAGGUUGUCCUGUAAGUCCUGUGUGAAAUCCCUCGGCUCAACUGAGGAACUGCACAGGAGACUGCUGGACUUGAGUUCGGGAGAGGGACGCGGAAUUCCGGGUGUAGCGGUGAAAUGCGCAGAUAUCCGGAGGAACACCGGUGGCGAAGGCGGCGUCCUGGACCGACACUGACACUGAGGCGCGAAAGCUAGGGGAGCAAACGGGAUUAGAUACCCGAGUAGUCC
rnacentral:rRNA from 1 species